AUCGCUUCUCGCCUUUUGGCUCAGAUCGAGGAAGUAUCUGUUCUUAUCAGUUUAUUAUAUCGAUACCGUCCCCCAUCGGGGACUACAUAUUAAAAUGGAUUUUUCGAACAGGGAGUCGGAAAUGGGCUUGCCGUCCCGCUCCACGCAUCGACCCGGUAUUGCAGUACCUCCGGAACGGUGCAACACUU
rnacentral:snRNA from 1 species